rnacentral:rRNA from 1 species
UACGUAGGCAGCAAGCGUUGUUCGGAAUUACUGGGCGUAAAGAGUGUGUAGGUGGUCAAGAAAGUCGGUUGUGAAAUCCCUGGGCUCAACCCGGGAACUGCUUCCGAUACUUCAUGACUCGAAUUCGGUAGAGGGAGGCGGAACUCCAGGUGUAGCGGUGAAAUGCGUAGAUAUCUGGAAGAACACCAAUGGCGAAGGCAACCUCCUGGGCCUGAAUUGACACUGAGACACGAAAGCGUGGGGAUCAAACAGG